rnacentral:tRNA from 1 species
UGGAGAUGUGCCAGAGCGGCCGAAUGGGGCUCCCUGCUAAGGAGUUGACCCUUCUGGGGUCCGGAGGUUCGAAUCCUCUCAUCUCCGCCAU